GCUGCCUGCCAAUUAGCCUGCGUGUCUACCUCGACAACAUGUCAAAGUGUACGUCAUCACUGCUGAGACACGUUCAACUUGGUCGUGUGCUGUGUUCUUUUGAUUAUAUACACUCAUCAGGAUUUCGUAGAAUAACCACAGUGCCUUUUAUUAUCAUGAGUAAUUUCUCUCACUUUGCAACGAAAGCUAUUCACAUUGGUAACGAACCUGAUCAAUGGAAAUGCCAUGCUGUUGUACCACCGAUUUUUCUAUCUACAACAUUUGAAGAACAAGAACCGGCAGUCACUUACGUAAGAUUUUUAUCGACGAUUUUUACAUAUCUACCUUUAUAGUAUAUGUUAGUAUGUAAACCUGAUUUUAUCUAGCGAUGUUAUGAAUGGGG